rnacentral:rRNA from 1 species
UACGUAGGGUGCGAGCGUUAAUCGGAAUUACUGGGCGUAAAGCGUGCGCAGGCGGUGAUGUAAGACAGGUGUGAAAUCCCCGGGCUUAACCUGGGAACUGCAUUUGUGACUGCAUCGCUGGAGUGCGGCAGAGGGGGAUGGAAUUCCGCGUGUAGCAGUGAAAUGCGUAGAGAUCAGCAGGAACACCCGUGGCGAAGGCGGCCCCCUGGGCCGUACCUGACGCUGAGGCGCGAAGGCUAGGGGAGCGAACGGG